CUGAACACUGCAUCAGGAUGAUGUUGCCAAUAACUCUGCUGGUCAUGUUGGGUUUUCUGACUCAGGAGUCUUCUGCCAACAAUUUCCUGACUCAGACUGACAAAUCCAAGUCUGUCAGUCUUGGUGGGACGGUGACCAUCAGCGCCUCAGGGAGUUCAAACAUUGGUGCUGAUCUCAGUUGGUACCUUCAGAAACCUGGACAAGCUCCCAAACUUCUUAUAUACACAUCUUCAAGCAGCUUCUCAGGAACUCCAUCUCGAUUCAGUGGCAGUAGAUCUGGUUCUGACUACACUCUGACCAUCAGUGGUGUUCAGGCUGAAGAUGUUGGAGAUUACUACUGUCUGGGUGCCCAUGGUGGUGCGUUCACACAGUGA